rnacentral:rRNA from 1 species
UCAGAACGAACGCUGGCGGCGUGCUUAAUACAUGCAAGUCGAGCGAGAAAGUACCCUUCGGGGUGCGAGUAGAGCGGCAAACGGGUGAGUAACACGUAAGUAACCUACCUCUAAAUCUGGAAUAACUCUGCCAACGCGGAGCUAAUACCGGAUGUGGUCACGAUGCUGCAUGGUAUUGUGACUAAAGGUGACCUCUCCUUGAAAGUUACCGUUUAGAGAUGGGCUUGCGGACCAUUAGCUAGUUGGUGAGGUAACGGAUCACCAAGGCUACGAUGGAUAGCCGGCCUAAGAGGGUGAUCGGCCACAUUGGGACUGACAUACGGCCCAGACUCCUACGGGAGGCAGCAGUAGGGAAUUUUGCGCAAUGGACGAAAGUCUGACGCAUCAACGCCGCGUGAGGAAUGACGGCCUUCGGGUUGUAAACCUCUGUUGAGGGGGAAGAAAAGCUUUGUGGUUAAUAUCCACAGAGUCUGACGGUACCACUCGAGGAAGCUCCGGCUAACUACGUGCCAGCAGCCGGGGUAAUACGUAGGGGGCUAGCGUUGGUCGGAAUCACUGGGCGUAAAGGAAGUGUAGGCGGACCGGUAAGUUAGGAGUUAAAUGUACGGACUCAGCCCGAGAUCUGCUUUUAAUACUGUCGGUCUUGAGUAUGGGAGAGGGAGAUGGAAUUCCAGGUGUAGCGGUGGAAUGCGUAGAUAUCUGGAAGAACACCAGUUGCGAAGGCGGUCUCCUGGACCAAUACUGACGCUGAUGCUCGAAUGCUGGGGGAGCGAACAGGAUUAGAUACGCUGGUAGUCCCAGCCGUAAACGAUGGACACUAGUUGCCGGAGGAGUCAAUCCCUUCGGUGACCAAGCUAACGCAUUUAGUGUCCCGCCUGGGGAGUACGCUCGCAAGGGUGAAACUCAAAGGAAUUGACGGGGGGCCGCCCAACCAGGUGGAGCAUGUGCUUUAAUUAGAUGCAACGCCGAAGAACCUUGCUGGUUUGCCCACCCGGUGAAGUUUCCAGAGAUGAAGCCUUUCUUCGGGACACCCACACAGGUGCGGCAUGGUUGUCGUCAGCUCGUGUCGUGAGAUGUGGGUAAUUCCGCACGAGCGCAACCCUGCUUUUAGUUGCAUCAGUAAAGCUGGGCUCUAAGGGGACAGCUGGUAUACCAGGAGGAAAGUGGGGAUGACGUCAAAUCAUCAUGGCUCUUACGCCCAGGGCUAGACACGUGCUACAAUGGCAGGUACAGUGGGAUAGCAGCCUGCGAAGGUGAGCUAAUCCCUUAAAACCUGUCUCAGUUCGGAUUGGAGUCUGCAA